GCCGCAUCGGACGGCGGAAAGCCUGCCGCUGCUCCCUGCGCCGAUGGGAGCCGUCAGGCGCCGACGUUCGAAUCGGUGGAGGCGGCGC
rnacentral:tRNA from 1 species